AUCUAAAUUUGACUUUAAUCUCAUAUAUAUAAGAUAUAUAUCCACACAAGCUUUGUGAUUUUAUGCAUGUCUGCUGAAGCCACACAGUGUGAGUAAGCAAACUUCGCAGCGAAACAUGAAGAUAACUAGGAUACGAGUCAUGGCCAGACAUCUGGAAUUCGUCGUCGAGAUGGCAGUCCACUCAUCAUCACAUUACCAUUCUCAGUCUAUGUCCUUGACCUAGUUUAAAAAGGUUCAGAAAAGGAGCAACUGUCAUAUGCAUCAGAAUGUCUGGGAAAGGUUUCAAGGAAAAGGAUAACAUUGGCUGGAGCCUGAAGGGUCGAUUAUAUUUGGGUAGACCAAGUAAACAGAAAAGAAAGAGCAGGCACAUGAGCUCAUGACAAGAGGUGAAGUAAGGAGUCAUCUGCCCAGAGAAAACGGUCAACUCUUUAAUUCAAAAUAAAUGUAUUAUGUAACGUUUGAAGUCCA